UAUUUGAAAACUAAGGAGAUAAACUUUAUACCAUGACGAAUUAUUUAUUCUAUUGACGACAGUGAGUCUAACUGCCAUCCUCAAAAUCUCAGCCGUCUAAACUCCACGUUCUUUCAAUCUGAGCCACAUAAACUCGAUUUUGGCGGUUGUUUGCAGUUCAUCGCCUCCUGAUUCUUCUCCCCACGAUUAUGUACGAUUGCGUCUCUACCCACGUUCUACACAAUUGUCGGUUGUCUCCUCAAGAAGCAAUUCAAUUGGAAACUGCAUUAAACUGCAGCACGCCUCCGACUUUUACCCUAAACCACAAAUUGGUUUUAAUCAAGAACUGCACCACACGAUUCCAUGAUUGCUAGAAAUCAGUUAUUGACCCAUUAGUCCUACAAAUAUGCCUAUUGAGGCCUAUAUAAGAGUACUCUUUGAAGUAAUUUUGUUAAUCGGUUCUAUUGCUUCACCGAAUCAUGGACCAGACGAUGUUCUUCAUCGACAAACCACAAUCAGCCAAAAUUGCACCCUCCUUCUUCUUUGCGUCAAGCUCCAGGUUCACCCUUUUUUUUUCCUUUUCUUUCUUCUUCUAAUUCGAUCACAUUGAUCGCAGGUAAGUUUCAAGGAAUUCAAAUUAGUAUACCCCCUCUGCUCCUUUUCAAUCGAUCAUAUGUUCCUCUUCACCCUUAUUAUUAUUAUUAUUAUUAUUAUUAUUAUUAUUAUUAUUAUUAUUUGGCAGAAUUGGUGCAGAUCACAAGAUGUUGAAAGGGAAAUGGAUAUCUUGGAACAAUAAGUUAACGACUAGAAGCUUAUUAACCUAAUUACCCCUUUUGACAAAUUAUUUGUUCUAUGUAGUUAGAUUUGUAGCUUAAGAAGUUGGAAACCAAAAGUCUACCAAUGAUUCUGCUAUGUUUUGAUAGAUUCAUGGGAAGUGGAUAUCAACUGAAAGAAUUCGAAAUAGUUGAACAUGUUACCCCAUUGAGAUUGGGAAUAGAAAUAUUUUUAGCAGGUAUGUUGAAACCAAUUAAUUGAAGGAAAUGAGCCUGAAGAUGAACUUGAAUAAACAAAAGAACGAAAAAAAAUCCAAGCAUCUGAUUCCACGCCUAAAUGAUGAAUGAACCCAUCUUGGAAGAAUCAUAUCAGGGUAUGUGCACAUAGUGUCAUCUGUUGGUGGAGAAGAUACAACGUUUGGAGGCAUAGACAUGGUGGAAGCAAGGCAUGAGGUUGCAUUUUUUAAGGCGAAAUUGUUACAGCUUCAUGACUUAUCCUUUUAGAAGACUCUUCACCUAAAUUGUUGAUAUAAGUCUCCGUUUCCAGUUGUUUCCAUUGGAUUUAGACUCAAAUUUCUCAAAGUAUGUUUUGUAAAUCCCAAACACUACUUCAAAGUUCAAAGUAGGAAGUAGUUGGUAUUCAUUAUAUCUUUUGGAGCAAAUAUAAAAAAGGGUGUUUGGAUUUUCUUUUCUUAAGUAAUUAUUUUGAUUUCAAGAAUUACAAUCAGAUAAUAAUUUGAGAAAUUUAGGGAUAAUAUGAUACUUUUCCAUUUAUCCUGCAAUAAAUCUGAUUUUGGCACUAAAGAUUCUGUCAUGAUGACUUCUUAUACUGGAAUUGUUCUGAAAAUAUCAUAACCUCUUUUAGAUGCUAUUAUUGAGAAGAAAGUAUCUCUUUCUGAAUGCAACAAUACUGUAACAUCCUAAAUUUAAGACUAUAUUAUUAAAUUAAUAAGAUAAAGGGGAAAAUGAUAGAGAAAAGUCAUUAAAUUUGCUGGGAAAAUUACCCUAAGUCAAGGGAAAAAAAGGGCAUUUUUGGAAUUUUACCAAAACUAGGUGGGGUUUUGUCACAUGAUGUUAAUAAGAUAAAAGGCAAAAUGGUAGAGAAAAGUCAUUAAAUUUGCUGGGAAAAUUACCCUAAGUCAAGGGGAAUAAGGGCAUUUUCGGAAUUUUACCAAAACUUAGUGGAGUUUUUUCACAUGAUGUUAAUAAGAUAAAAGGCAAAAUGGUAGAGAAAAGUCAUUAAAUUUGCUGGGAAAAUUACCCUAAGUCAAGGGGAAUAAGGGCAUUUUCGGAAUUUUACCAAAACUUAGUGGAGUUUUUUCACAUGAUGUUAAUAAGAUAAAAGGCAAAAUGGUAGAUAAAAGUCAUUAAAUUUGCUGGGAAAAUUACCCUAAGUCAAGGGGAAUAAGGGCAUUUUCGGAAUUUUACCAAAACUAGGUAGGGUUUUUUCACAUGAUGUUAAUUUGUUGCUGCCCACGUUUCCCCAAAAAAGCUACAACAUGGUAAACAAUCACCAUCCAUUUGAACUUUGAAGAAGAUGACAAUGCAAUGUAAGUUUAUGUUAACUAUUUUCUCUUAUUAUUUAUUUUUGAAUUUAUGACACUUUGGUUGAAUUGAAUCUUAUCUGGUGGGAAUAAAAGGAUGAGACAGAAGUCUAUUAAGUCAACUAACCAUUUUUCUUACUUUUAAAUUGUGUUUAAUUAUUUGCCAAUUUGGUCUAUCAAGUGUCAUGUUUUUCUUUGGGUUUGUCCAUGUGAUCGAAUUUUGAAAUACAAAUUGAAUUUAAUCUAAAAAUUAAUUUUCUUUAAGUCGGAAAAAAAUAUUAUAUUCUACUGGUUACAUCAGAACCAAACAAAAUUAAUUUAGAUAUGGCUUUAGUUCAAUAAUGAUGUUUAUUUGUCUUAUGUUUCAUAUUUUUUUUGGUGUAAUUUGGUGUAUACAAUCAAUUAAUGUAACUGAACUGAACAUGCAGAAGAAUAGACAUGCAAGAAAUAGCAAGGAUAUGGUGAAGGAU